rnacentral:rRNA from 1 species
GACGAACGCUGGCGGCGUGCUUAACACAUGCAAGUCGAACGGAAAGGCCCUGCUUUUGUGGGGUGCUCGAGUUGCGAACGGGUGAGUAACACGUGAGUAACCUGCCCUUGACUUUGGGAUAACUUCAGGAAACUUGGGCUAAUACCGGAUAGGAGCUCCUGCUGCAUGGUGGGGGUUGGAAAGUUUCGGCGGUUGGGGAUGGACUCGCGGCUUAUCAGCUUGUUGGUGGGGUAGUGGCUUACCAAGGCUUUGACGGGUAGCCGGCCUGAGAGGGUGACCGGACAAAUUGGGACUGAGAUACGGCCCGGACCCGUACGGGACGCAGCAGUGGGGAAGAUUGCACAAGGGGCGGAAGCCUGAUGCAGCAACGCCGCGUGCGGGAUGACGGCCUUCGGGUUGUAAACCGAUUUCGCCUGUGACGAAGCGUGAGUGACGGUAAUGGGUAAAGAAGCACCGGCUAACUACGUG